GAUGAACGCUGGCGGCAGGCCUAACACAUGCAAGUCGAACGGAUCCUUCGGGAUUAGUGGCGGACGGGUGAGUAACGCGUGGGAACAUACCCUUUGGUACGGAAUAGCCUCGGGAAACUGGGAGUAAUACCGUAUGUGGUCGAGAGACGAAAGAUUUAUCGCCAAAGGAUUGGCCCGCGUUGGAUUAGGUAGUUGGUGGGGUAAUGGCCUACCAAGCCGACGAUCCAUAGCUGGUUUGAGAGGAUGAUCAGCCACACUGGGACUGAGACACGGCCCAGACUCCUACGGGAGACAGCAGUGGGGAAUCUUAGACAAUGGGGGAAACCCUGAUCUAGCCACGCCGCGUGAUCGAUGAAGGCCUUAGGGUUGUAAAGAUCUUUCAGGUGGGAAGAUAAUGACUGUACCACCAGAAGAAGCCCCGGCUAACUCCGUGCCAGCAGCCGCCGUAAGAC
rnacentral:rRNA from 1 species